CGCAUCUGUGCAUGCAGUAUAUCAAUAAGCGGAGGAAAAGAAACUAACAAGGAUUCCCUUAGUAACGGCGAGUGAAGCGGGAAGAGCUCAAAUUUGAAAUCUUCAAGGUUUUACCUUGACGAAUUGUAGUUUAAAGAAGUGUUUUCUGUUGAAGUUUUGGUAAAAGUUCUUUGGAAUAGGACAUCAUAGAGGGUGAGAAUCCCGUAUUUGACCAUUAUUUUCAGCUGUGUGAUACACUUUCAAAGAGUCGGAUUGUUUGGGAAUGCAGUCCAAAAUGGGUGGUAAAUUUCAUCUAAAGCUAAAUAUUGGCGAGAGACCGAUAGCGAACAAGUACCGUGAGGGAAAGAUGAAAAGAACUUUGAAAAGAGAGUUAAACAGUACGUGAAAUUGUCAAAAGGGAAGCGUUUGACACCAGUGUUGUUUUCUCGAAAAUCAAUUAAAAAGAGUUAGAUUUUGUUGUGUAUUGACCUUAACAGCUUGCAUUUCAAUUUUCUUGCUUUUUUUAAUGCACUUUUCGUUUAACAAGUCAACAUCAGUUUCUUUUGUUGUAAAAAGGUCAUUGGAAGGUGGCUUUCUUUUCGGAGAAAGUGUUUAUAGCCUUUGACUCCUGCAAUCGGAGAGACUGAGGUCUGCAGCGUAGAUCCUUCGGGGUUAGAUACAUUUGUGCUAAGUUAUAGCUUUUUAUAGACAACUUGUUGACUAUGAUUAGUCUUGUAGCUUGACUCGCUUAUGCUAUUUUACCUACGCUUAGGAUGUUGAUGUGAUACUGCGAGCA
rnacentral:rRNA from 1 species